rnacentral:rRNA from 1 species
AUUGAACGCUAGCGGGAUGCCUUACACAUGCAAGUCGAACGGAGUGGCGAACGGGUGAGUAAUGUAUCGGAACGUGCCCAGUAGCGGGGGAUAACUACGCGAAAGCGUAGCUAAUACCGCAUACUAUUGGAGCGGCCGAUAUCGGAUUAGCUAGUUGGUGGGGUAACGGCUCACCAAGGCGAGGAUCCGUAGCUGGUUUGAGAGGACGACCAGCCAGACUGGAACUGGGAUAGGGCCCAGCAUCCUACGGUAGGCAGCAGUGGGGAAUUUUGGACAAUGGGGGAAACCCUGAUCAAGCCAUCCCGCGUGUGCGAUGAAGGCCUUCGGGUUGUAAAGCACUUUUGGCAGGAAAGCGGUACCUGCAGAAUAAGCACCGGCUAACUACGUGCCAGCCGCCGCGGUAAUAC